GCAAUCUGCCCUGCACUCUGGGACAAGCCCUGGAAACGGGGUCUAAUACCGGAUACUGACCCGCUUGGGCAUCCAAGCGGUUCGAAAGCUCCGGCGGUGCAGGAUGAGCCCGCGGCCUAUCAGCUAGUUGGUGAGGUAAUGGCUCACCAAGGCGACGACGGGUAGCCGGCCUGAGAGGGCGACCGGCCACACUGGGACUGAGACACGGCCCAGACUCCUACGGGAGGCAGCAGUGGGGAAUAUUGCACAAUGGGCGAAAGCCUGAUGCAGCGACGCCGCGUGAGGGAUGACGGCCUUCGGGUUGUAAACCUCUUUCAGCAGGGAAGAAGCGAAAGUGACGGUACCUGCAGAAGAAGCGCCGGCUAACUACGUGCCAGCAGCCGCGGUAAUACGUAGGGCGCAAGCGUUGUCCGGAAUUAUUGGGCGUAAAGAGCUCGUAGGCGGCUUGUCACGUCGGUUGUGAAAGCCCGGGGCUUAACCCCGGGUCUGCAGUCGAUACGGGCAGGCUAGAGUUCGGUAGGGGAGAUCGGAAUUCCUGGUGUAGCGGUGAAAUGCGCAGAUAUCAGGAGGAACACCGGUGGCGAAGGCGGAUCUCUGGGCCGAUACUGACGCUGAGGAGCGAAAGCGUGGGGAGCGAACAGGAUUAGAUACCCUGGUAGUCCACGCCGUAAA
rnacentral:rRNA from 1 species